rnacentral:tRNA from 1 species
GCCGCUUUAGCUCAGGGGUAGAGCAACGGUUUCGUAAACCGUAGGUCCCCGGUUCAAAUCCGGGAAGCGGCU